GCCUGCCUAGCUCAAUCGGAUAGAGCGUCAGACUUUUACGCUCAUAUGGGUGGCCAUCUGAAGGCUGCGGGUUCGACCCCCGCGGUGGGCU